CUCACCAUUCUGGAGGCUAGAAGUCUGAAAUCAAGCAUUUAGAGGAAGCAGCAGGGGCCGUGUGGGGACAAUGGAUGUUUCGGCGACCGUCUGCCACCCAUUCCCCUCCCGUGAAUCACCAGCCCUGUGAUGCUGUCCACCGUGCAUGCUGACGUCCGCCAGCUUUGCAGCUUCCUGUCUUCCCGAAGUGGUACAGACCCAGAGCCUUUCUCCUGCAGAAUCAUGGGAACCUGGUGAAGGAGGACAGGCUGUUUUCCCAGUCGUGGCAGUCCUGUGGGUCUGAGCAGCUGCGGCGGGGAUGACCACACCUCUACCCUGGCUCAAGUCUUCCAGGCACCUGGAGAAGCCAUGGGGUUUCCGGGGGGCUUCCAUUUCCACAACCGUAUUAUGAACGAGCCGGUGCCCACCCACGCCACGAGGGCUUUACUGUUGACUUCCAGUGUCACAGCUGUUCUAGGAAGCACCUGCGGGGCUUUUGCCCAUUAAUGUUUCAUGCCCUCUGUCUGUCCGUCCACUGUCCAAGGGGGACCACCUGCUCGGAGGUGGUGUGCUCGGCCUGCGGGUGGAACCCGGGCUUCCCUCUGGCGUCUUGUUUACAGAGCUUCGUCUGCUCUCAGAAUGAAGUCCUUGAGAAUCAUUCAAUGACUUAAAAUACAAAUAAUGAUCGUGUCUAAGAAGAUUAU